ensembl:lncRNA
UAAAGCUAAUACGGUGGUCCUUAUCAGACUCCUGUGUCUCCACUGGUUCAGAACCAACACAGAAAAGGGUAGUGACCACUUAUAUUACCUCCAAAACCCGCAGAACUUACUCGUCAGGAAAACUGACCAUCACCACACGUGAAAUAGUCCCCACCUUGUAUUUAAAUAAAACCUUAACCUGUUUCAAGCUACUUUAUCACAGCCACACUGUUGGAGCCUGAGGCCAUGCUAAGAAAAAGAUCACCAGAAUGCCAAGCAAAAGAUGAGGAAGCUCGGGAGUUACCAGUGGAAUCGAUAUGAAGAGCAACAAGCCACCGAUAAGGCACAACUGGAUCUGAGCAUCACUGAUCCUGAGCAGGGAAGAUUCCAUGGUCAUCUGUCUAAGGACAAGGAUAGAACCCAGCUGAACUCUCUCCAAAGGAUGUUCAAAUUGCUUGUUCCUAAAUUUGCCUGCUAUGUCUGAAACACUGAGGUUUCUUUAAUCAGGAUAAAGUUUGAGCUUCUCAUCUAACUCUGUCUUACCAUGAAAGUGUGAGCUAUGAACUCUUCCGUAAAUAAACAUUGAUUGAGCACUAUGCUGGGCAUCAGAGAAGGAGAAAUGGACAAGACACAGUUCCUGCUCUCAAGAAGCUCAUGCUAUAGUGGACUUUAUCAAAAAGCUUUCCAGGUAAAGCUCUUUCUUUCCAAGGAAUAACCAAGUAAGAAAGUUUACAAUGGAACGUAAAGAAUGAUGUCUCCAUGUAUUUAUGGACACUUGAUUCAUGAUACAGAUGAGACUGAAGAGCAGGGAAGAAAGAAAGAAGGAAGGAAGGAAGAGAGAAUGAGAGAGUGUGAGAGCGCGAGAGAAAGGAAGGAAGGAAGAAGGAAGGAAGGAAAGCAGAAAGAGAAGGAAGGAAGGAAGGAUGGAAGGAAAGAAGGAAGGAAGGAAGAAAAAGAUCUGUAACCUCGGGCCCACUUGGACCAGUUGGAACUGACCCCAUCUUAUCAACAGAGUGAUUAGGAGUUGCUUUUCAGAGGCAGAAAUUUGGAAGUCGCAUAGCCAGAGCAUGCGCAGAGGAGAAAAUGUUGACCUGAAAUAACACUGGAACCCAAGAUUCUCCCUGACAUGAAACAAAGGACCAGGGCACUACCAGAACUUGAAGGCUGGACUCUUAUCAGAAGCGAGGGGUCCAUUGUCUAGGAAGAUCUGGUGUUAAAGCCCUUCCACCUCACCAAAAAUGUUCAGAACCUUCCCAGGAAUGUUUAAAGCCCUCCGAUCAAAACCUGCCCUGUGGCAUUUCCAUGUCCCAGCCUGUUCUCCCUGACCUCUUAAAUUUCGUCCCAGACCCUGAAUCAGGGAGAGAGAUUUCAGAGCUUUGUCUCCUGUCUCCUUGUUGCUCAACCUCACAAUAAAGCCUUUUCUUUUUUCAAAAGCCAGUGGCAUAAUAAUUGGCUUUUUUACUUGCAUUGGGCAGAAAAUCCCCCUUUCUGUGGUAACAAAAUUGUCUCUGCCUCAUAUCAUACACAAAACUCCAAAAAUAAAUCCAGGAGUAUUGUAAAUAAAAUGUGAAAGGCAAAAA